CUUUGACGCACAAAGGUGUACUUCUCCUCCCGGCUCAAGACCCAAGCCAUAAGAUUUCUUCUCUUUUCUGCUGUGUUUCUCUUCGCCGCUCGCAACCUUCUCUCUUAAAGUGCAGCAUGUAUUUUAAUUUCAGAGAACCAAAAACCAAAUAGAUGACCUCCAUUAUUGUUAUUUGUAGCGUCACGUAUGUUGUCGCACUAGUGUGACGCCACACUAGGCAUUUGGUGUAAACCACGCAAGCCUCCAGGCGUUCCAACUUGCAGUGGAAACGCUUGCCUGAAUAGGCUGGACCAUUCAAAACCUUCCAAACUGUACUGACCCGAACCGAUCAGCUCAGUGGAAACGAGGCCUAAGUGUACAUAGAACAGUUUAUCUUCUUAGCAUUUGCUGUUUGAUGGUUAAUAUUGCAAGAAGUUAUUCCC